rnacentral:rRNA from 1 species
GGAUUAAUUUAUUGGUCGUGCUAUUGUACGUACUGGUAUUAUUGAUUCCUACCUUCUGACGAACCAUGAUGUCAUUAAUUUGGUGUCAUGGGGAAUCAGGACUGUUACUUUGAAAAAAUUAGAGUGUUCAAAGCAGGCGCAUGCCUGAAUAGAUUAGCAUGGAAUAAUGGAAUAGGACUU